UGGCACGGCAUUCCAGAAGGGUUUGCUGUUGAGGCUGGGGAAAGGGGCUCUCUUUCUCUGUCACAUACUCACACACACACACACACACACACACACACACACACACACACACACACAGCUCCCAGGCACCCAGGAAGGGCAAUGGUCUCUGCACACGCAGUGGGUGAUGUGCCUGGAGCAGGCAAUGCUCACAGCUAAGGAGCCCAGCAGAAUUUUGUGUGGCUGGGAGCUUGGAUUACAGCCUUCAUAUCUUCUCCAGGCAAGACCAGUGGCAGCCUCCUGAUUUGGCCCAAGCAUGCCCUGUCCUCAAUCAACCAGCCAAGCAGGGAGCCUCGCUGCCAGUGCCCUGCCGCUCAGUAUUUAUUCGCUGCUAUUUGGGGAGCAGUGGAGCCCAAUUGCCUUUCCCAGUCACCCCUGGGUCGCCCUGGGUGGGCAGGCGGGGGAGUUCAGAUCACUCCCACUCUCAGCCUUCACUGAGUCCCCACCCGCAGCUGCCAGCCAUAGAGAAAAUGUCUCUGCGGCAGCAGGUGCUCUUGGGCCCUGCGUGUUCCAGGUGUAGAGCCGCUGCUGAGGCUUCCAGGCUCAACAUCAGCGGCGGCUUCUGACCCGUUCAGAUCUUGUCCCGAGUGCACAGUGUACCACGUCUCGCCUCUACAGCAGCAGGCGCGUGAGCGUCCGUGCACGGGCCAGCCUCAUGCCAGCUGUUUUCCUUUUCAGAUUGGGGUUCAGUCGGCACCUUCUACAUGACAUGGUGGAGUGUGCAUUACAUAAAGCCCCCAGGUUACAGACAGGACCCCUGGGGCCAGGAGAGGUGGGUGCCUUGUGAUCUGCGUCAUGGUGAGGAGGACUUCAGGGACAGAUGGCCAGGGAUGUUCCCAGGUGGUGGAGGAGGCUCCACUGGCAGAGAAGCAACGUCAAGCUGAAGACAUUGGGGUGCGAUGGCUGGCCAGGACAGCUUGUCUCCUCGUCCGCACACGGAACGCUGGAUUUCACUCUGUGACCCAGCCAGCGGUCUCAUCUCACAGCCGCAGCUUUCAGCAGGAAGGAGCCCACUGGUGCCUGCCUGACCUACGAGGGCCCGCACCGUUUUGCCCUCCUAACAUUUUGUAUUUGAAGUGCUUGUCACAGUCCACAAAAUAACCACUCAGAAUCUGUUACUAUUUUGUUUAUAUGUUGUAUCAAGUGAAUGUUAAUAAGUCAUCUAAGUGUAUGCUUUAGUUAUAAAUCUUGGAAAAAUAAAAACUUCCUUUUGGAGGAAAAGUGAACUUACUUUGGUAUCAAAAUCACACAACUCCAGGUUGGAUUUUUUUGUGCUUUAAUGUUCGCAGUCACACGAAAGUGGCAUCUCCAUCAGCACUGGGGCGGCCGCCUCCUCAUCAGCCGACAGCUGCACGGUCCCCGCCUCUCAUCCAUUUGGUCUGUUUGCAAGUUACUAGAUCAUACAAAAAUAACCGCUACAAAUUCUCUGUAUCUGGCAUAUAAAAACUGAGCAAAAAGUAUCUCUUAAAGCAAAACAUCUCAGAAAAAAUACAACACAGGUUUAACUUCUGCAGUACUUUGUUCAUAUAAAACACUAGUAAAAUAGGCUUCUUAAAAAUUAAAUAGUGAAAUACCAACCAAAUUAUAUACAUUGUUACAGUACAAGUGAAUGAGGCAAAAUAUCCAGUUCUUAGUUUCCCAGGUGGGUGGGGGUGGCCUUCAGUGCGUGGCACGGAGGGGGUGACAGGAAGGCCACGUUCCAAUGUCACAGUCAGCGCAGAAAGAGGCUUGCAGCGGGACAAACAGAUGGAAAGAACUGAGUCACACAGGGAAGACCAGGGGCUCCUUUGAGGAAGAGUGAGGUCAUGUUUUUAUUGCUUGCUAAUCCGAGGUUUUCCCUGGCCCGAUGCCCCUCUAGGUAGCCUGGAUCCCAAAUGCUGCAGCCCACGUAGCGCUAAUCCAUGUCACCAAGCAGCCACGGGGAAGCCACAGCUGCUCCAGAGAAGACAGAACUAGGCUUCAGAGCCCUCAAUAUCUGAGCUGGACCGAUCCUGGUCUUUCAGGUCCAUCAGGGUCCCACAUGGUCCAACUGACACACACGUUUCCCCGCUGACGGCCACGUUCACCUGAGAGCCUGAGGGCGGGCAGUGUGGGCUCAUGGCACUGGGAUGGUAUCACUGUGGCCUGGGGGGUGGCACUCAGACCCAGCCAACCCCCUCAGCGACCACAGUGCCUCGCCCGCUUCUCUGCCGCCACCAGGGCUGAGGGUCUACGUGCGGCGCCGCUUGGCAGCACUGGGACUGGAAGGGUUGCUGUUUGCGGUCAGGACUUUGUCGGUGACCCGGCUGCGCUUCCGCUUGUCUGCGCCUUCUUUGCACCCCAAGUCUGAGGAGUUCUUCUCUUUGUCUUUGCUGGAUUUUUCUGAUGCUUUCCCCAAAC
rnacentral:lncRNA from 10 species